AGCUCGUGUCGUUGCUAACCGGAAGCUGACCCAAACGACUUCCUAGUUAAGAAGGUCAGAGCUUUUACGCGUGAAUUAACAAGUUGUUCAAAACGGAUUCUGAUGAGGAAGUGAUCUUUAUUUCUGAAAGGACUCCAUCAAGGUCCAGCAAGAUUGCGAUUGAUCAGUGCCAACACUGAUAAAUAAGGUGAGAAACACUUGAAGACGUCACAGCGAAGUACGGAGGUGGCAUUCGCGGGGCUCUCUUCUGUUCUUCUCCCUCACCGCUCAUCAUUCUUUGCCAACAAGAGUCUUCAGCAAAGGUGAAGCGACUGGCUCUGCAAAAAGACAUUGAUCAAGAAUCUCUCCCUAAGCAGUGCUGUAAGAAAAAACACAGGUGUUCUUCUGUUCAAAGGCCGGAGGACAAAGAGAAAAUGAAGGUUGAGGAUGAGGCAGGUGAGAAUCUUGAAGAGAAGAAACCCAAGAAACGGCAAACCUUGCUGUGUGAAAUUGCAAACGCCACUGAUGACAAGAAAAAGACAAAAGUAAAAAAACAGGGCUUGACAAUGAAAGUAGACGAGUGUUGGGAGGGAGGAGGUGUGGUGCAAGACAAGAAGAUGAAGAAAAAGAAGAAAUCAGACUCUUUGAAUCAGACAAAUGUUCCUGAUGUUAUGGAUGGAAAUGACAAAAAAGGGAACAAAAAGAAGAUAAAAAAGAAAGAGAUGACUGACAGGCAGGUGGGGACUGAAGUGGGACCAGUAAAAGAAGAGGAAAAAAGUCCAAAGAAAAAGUUGAAGAAUAAAACUAAACAUGAAAAUGUUAUAGUAGAGGAAGAGGAAGUGGCAAAGAAAGCCAAGAAAGAGAGAAAAAGGCUUAUUUCAACAAACAAUUCUGAGGUUGCAGAUGACAAAGGAGUCUUUCAAAAGAAAGAGUGUCUCAAACACGCGGAACAAAAGAAUGAGAAGAAGAAGAAAAGGAUAAAGGAUAAGGGGACACAAAUGAAACAUGAACAUGUGAAGGAGGAGGAAGACGGAGAGAAGGUGCCUAAGAAAGGGAAGAAGAAAACCAAAAAUGUUGCGAGUGCAGAGGAGCAAAUGAAACACAAGACAAAGAGGAAAAAAGACACAGCAGAAAAGGAAGAAAUAAUUGCAACAAAAAAGAAGAAACAAGUCCAGUUAGCAGAGCAUGCAGUUGCAUCAGACACAGUAGACAGACAGGAGAUCAAGGAGGUGAAGCGAAAGAAGAAAAAAAACAAAGCAGGCAAAGUACAGCCUGAUGCUGAUGUUCAAGAGGAAGAAAAACCUGCAAAGAACAAGGAAAGCAGGACAACUCCAAAGAAAAAAGCAGAAAAGGCUAAGAGAAAAUCCUCUGUGGCUAGCACAGAAGAAGAGAUGCAAUCUACUAAGAAGAAGAAGAAACAAAAAGUAGAGGAACCUACAUGUUUAGAGGUUGAAGACAAUGAACCAAGCAAGAAAAGCAAAAAGAAGAGCUCUGAUCAGAAAGCAGCAGAAAGAAAAAGUGCAAAGAAAAAAAUUAAAGAAGAGAUGGAAGAGCAGUUGGACGCUCUUCAAGUGGAUGUGGUCUUUUUGUCGGAGAAGACCGGAAACACAGAUGAGGUCACCAUCAACCCGGAAAGACGACAGGCUUUACAGAUGGAGAUUGACAAGGCCUCUCAGCCUGAACAAGCCAAACAACCUACAAGGUUCAGUCAGUGGGGCACCGCCCAGUUUGAAAGCUCUGAACAGCAGCACAAGUUUCUCAGGUUGAUAGGUGGCUUUAAGCAGGGCUUUCAGUCAGCUUCCGCCACCGUGAGCACGGCAAGAACAAAUAUGGCACUCUGUAAGGACGCACAGGAGCAUUUACAGCAAGGACUCAUGAGGGAGUUCCAGCAUGCCCACACACGCAGAAUGGACUCUAACUUAAGAGGUGCAGGACUUGGGUUUAGUGCACCAUCCCAAAAGAAGUUCUCUAUUGACAUCAAUGCAUGUCGGUCAGUCCGCUUUGACGACUGAGCACUGCUGUGUAAGUCUUCUCAAUAUUGUUUUAACUUUGCAGUCUUUUUUUACAAGGAAGAAAUAAAGCCUGACUGUAAAUAAACAGUGCACAACACAUUCUUUGUGUGACAGACACUUGACAAAUCCAACCAUUUUUAAAAUACAAUAUAACUUUCUCAGCAAACAGGCACACGCUAAUCCAGGGGUCACCAACGUUUUUUCUUGCGAGAGCUACUUUUAGAAAAUGAAAAUGGCCACGAGCAUUUUUGUAGAAAUGAUUUUCAUACCUUAUUUCAACCCAAACAGAUAAAAUAUGCUUGUUUUACCAAAACAUUCACAAAAUGCUGGUAUCCACAACUCACAUUUUAUGUUUCAGAAUACAUUUUUUCUAGUGUUCUCACAUUAUUAACUGAAAACCUGAAUGAAAAGCAGGCUUGCGGGCAACUCGUGGUCAUGGGCGGCUACCUGGUGCCCGCCGGCACCACGUUGGUGACCCCUGCGCUAAUCGAUCUGUGCCUGCGAAUGGUCAAGCAUUAUAUACAAACAUGUACUGUAUACUGUUAUGUCCAUCAUAUGUUAUAACAUGCAUAUGGCAAUGUUGUAUCGAAGGUCUUAAACAUCAAAAGGCAAAAGACUAUUGAUAGAAGAUUGUUAAUCCUUGAUCUGGACAUAUCAGUUGUAUCAGCUAUGUCAGCUGUAAUACUGUAAUGGUGUUCAUGCUAUUUUGAGGUAACACUUUUUAAAGGAUGAAAUAUAAACAUAUCUUUUGAGCUUAAUAAAUGUGCCUUCAAAUUGCAUGAAUGUCCAUAACCUGGGGCAGGCGUACAUAAGCCUCUUGCUUCAGCCUACUCCUUUUGAGCUUCAUUACUGUGCAAUGAUCUGACUGACUGUAGAAAUAAUGUAUGUCAACUGCUCAAUAAACCAAUAUGAUAUAUUACAUCACUAGACAUAAAAACACCAAAAAGAGCAAUAGGCUUCCAUUUUAUUUAACUUGUGCAGACAUCUGCAGUGAAGCUAAAGAGAUCCAAGUGUUCUUCAUUUCAUUAUAAAAUACUUUUCCGCUGGCUCAUGAUGAGCUGGAAAACAGACAUUUACUUCCACGUGUUGCGUGAAAGGUGUUUAUCACUUCACCUUGAAAAUGGAAUCGAUUGAUGCGUUGAGAAAAGUGAGCACCAAAAAAUGCCAAUUCAAAGCACAAUCUCAUUAAGCUGCACCUACGUUUCCUCUAUGUUGCAGUCCAGACUGCAAGAUAGAGUAUGAAGUUAUUGGUGCAACCUAACUGACUGGUGGAAAAGAAGAGUAUCCAACACCUGUCUUGAGACACUGGAAUGCUGCACUGCAACAGAAUUUAUUGCAGCUCUAAUCAGACUGCCAGGUUGUAAUUAAGCUGGCAACAAGCACUUGACCACAGUAUACUGUUAGUACACGUUGUGUUCUACCAAUGUUGCAAUUAGAAUUGAGGUUGCAUCAGUCUGACAGCACACUAUUGACCAAAAAAUAUGAAGACAUAUGAAGCCAGCAAGUGUCCAAACACUCGUCAUCCAGUCUCAUCCUAACAAAUCAGCAGGCUCCUUGGUCACCCAGAGAUCAGGAGAAGGGAAGCUGUGUGUUCCUUGUGGAGGAAAAGAAGUCUAUAAGAGCUUUCAAGCCUGCAGAUACUCUGGCUGGACUCUUGCCACUUUGCGGAACUCUUUGGCAUGCGUCAGUGGACACUGCAUCUCACACCAGCUGAUGGGAACCAUCUGUGCACCUAGUGUACAGUGAAACACUUGUUAAAAUAACAUGCUACUGAAAAUCAUGUUUUUUGGAAUUGAACAGUACAGGAAAUAUAUGCCUCCAAGUGGAUGUGAUGGCAAAGAGAAAAAGCACAAUGAAGACCACGGUACUGGAAAUGGAAUUCAAGGGUUAUGUCAGAAAGCGAUAGAAUGUACACUGCCAAAUCAGCUUUGUUUAGUCUAAAGCCUAGGGCACAACCGGUCAUAUGAGCUCCUACGGCCGGUCUAAGUGCACGUAUAGUAAGAUGGUCUACAUCAUACUACUGUACAUGAACUACAUCAUACUGAAAGAUGUUUCUAAUAUUUAGAAAUUUGAAACACCUCUGGGUAUGAAUCAUUGCAGUUCUAAAUCACUGCACUACAACCACAGUAACAAAUGUUGCUAAAACUGGAAGCAAACGGUCUUCAAGUUUUGAAUAAGCAUUCAAGUUCACCUGCUUCGCUGUGGGCCACCACUACACCCAGUUCAUUCUCAGCUGUAGUCAGCAGGUAGUUGGACUGCACAUCACCCAGUGAGAUCUGUCACGGUCCAAGUCAAGGGUAAGACACACAAUGGUAUAACACAAAAGGUCAAACACAAGGUUGAUGCAAUACAUCAGCAAUAUUUGAAUUUUAGGCAGAACCAUGCCUAAAGUCAUUAAAAAUACAUUUUCAAAAAUACAUUACAACAUAAGACAACAAAGGAUACCACUUUGGCCAGGACAAUAUCUCCAGGUCUAAAACAUUUGUACGUCUCUACCUGUCAGGGAGUUCAGAAACACACAUAUGAUCUUAAAUGUGAAGCACACAGAAGCUGUACAAUGCUGUAUAACAAACCUUGUCUUUCUCUGUUGCUCGCACGUCUUCUUUUCUGCAGGUUUAGAAGAUGGACUGUUGUAUUAUACAGUGAAUGGUGAGGCCCAGCAAAAUGAUUGUUCCUCCAUGUACCUGAUAGUUCCCCUGAAGCGGUCCUUCAGCGGUGUGGAGCCGACGUAAAGGAUGUGGACCUUAGCAAACCUGGGGUUUAUGCUGGUUACCUGUCCAAUCAAACAACAAGGUUGAUGGUCUGACUGCUGAAAACCCUUGUUUUGUCACAAGCAUCCAACAAGUCUGUUUUAAAUCAGCUCUGCUUUUUGCAGUGGCAUGAAAGACUCCCACAUGUCUAAAUGCCUCUGCAGCUUUCUCCACCUCCACACAACUCACCACACCUCUCUCACCUCCUCGCCUUCGUUCUUCUUCAGCACAUAGCCUGCAAGUGAGGAGUAGAUGUAGCCAUGCCGCAGGUAUACGCCUGUGCCAGGAGUACAGUCUUCUACGCUGCACAGUUUGUCACCUGAACACAAACCAGCCAAAAGACAGACAAGCGCUGUUACUGGGAGAGGACAAAAUACACUUACUAAUGAGGAUGAAAAGAAACGACAUUUGUCAGUCAUGCCUGUUCAGCUGUUUUGAUGACAAACUAGGGGCUGACAGCCGAGAGCCCCGGGACAACGAGCCAACCCUAACCCCAACAAUGGGUUUCCCCAUAUACUCAUUUCUUUGUGGUGACCCGCCAUAAAUAAAUUAGGCUCGCCAAAGAUAGAUCUGGUGCUGUUUUUUUUUUAGUUUUUUUUUUUUUUUUAGAUUUGCCACUAGUUAGCAUGUUAGCCACACAGUCAGGAGAUCUGAAAGAUCUAGGUUCGAAUCACUGUGUAGAGUUUGCAUGUUUUCCCCGUGCGUGGGCUUUCUCCGGGUACACCAGCUACCUCCCCCACUCCAAAAAUAUGCAUGUUAGGUUAAUUGGCGACACUAAAUUGUGUGUGUGAAUGGCUGUUUGUCUAUAUGUGUCCUGCGACUGGCUGGCGACCAGUCCAGGGUGUACCCCGGCUCUCGCUCGAGGUCAUGUGGGAUAGGCUCCAGCAUACACACAGCACUAGUGAGGAUAAGCGGCAUAGAAGAUGGAUGGAUUUACCGCUACCUGUUUGCCCUCACUCACACAUAAUGAGACUGUCUGUGGAGCUUGUCGUUACAAUUCUGUACAGUAGGUGGCAUCGUAACUGUGUUUCUUAACACACCUCAUACUUACUUACAGCAGCUGACUUAUUUGCGCAUUAUAACACAUCUGUUCAUUAAUACAGCGAGGUAUUAGAUGUACACUGACGUGUACAUUAUCUUUAAAAUCAGCAUACACUUACAUGAAACAUCACGUAUGGUUGUUUUUUUUUUUUAAAUCCCCAGUGCGUCACAAGGCGCACACGCGUCUACCCCUGCACAAAAUCAAACACCCCUAAGUCACUAACUUCAUGUUCUGUUGUUAAAUAAGUUGUAAACACAUGAGAAAGUUGCAUAUAUCUUACAAAAAAGCUUCUUUUACUGAACUACACAAAAAACACUGAGUCUGAGUUUUUUUUUUUAUCUCUAUACAAAUUAGACGAUGACAAACCCUACUUGUGCUUCGGUACUCUGGCCAGGACCAAAAAUUUUAAAAAGCUCGCUUAGCGUUGUCUGGUAUUUUUGUCAUUGACCAAAGACUGCGUAGUCAAGAACAUAUGCAUAAAGUAACAACAUGAUUGGUGAGCUUUUGUGAUAUACUGUAUGACAUAACGUAACUCCAAAUAUUCCAAUGCAAGGUGCCGUCUGCUGGGUUGAAUCGGUUUACAGAAAGCUCUUUUAAUCGUCUAAUUGUUGUCUAAAUGGUGCUAAAGUUCCGUUGUUUUAUUUGUGCAACUGUUGAAGCCCAACAAGUAUUACACUGUAAUAUGAAUGAUGCAGAAGUUUCCUAAACAUUCUUGACUUUAUAUGCACUGUAUUUGUAAUCAAGCAUGUGUGAAUUCAGGUUUUCUUAUACAUUUCUCGCAGUACUCAACUAAUGAUUUGCAAUGAGAGUCAAAACAAGCGAGAGAGGAAUGCUGCCUGGGGCGAUGGACAUGACUGCCGCUGCUGAGACCUGCCGUGGAAAGUAAAAGUAAACAAUUCCCGCCCAGAGAUAUAAAACUAAAUGACUCCAUUAUUAACGUAUAAAUAUCGUAUCUACGCUCCGCUAUCAGAACAAACAGGCACACGUACAUUUUUGUUAGGCAGAAUUCAAAGAGUAAGUAAAGACAGGAAGUCCAAGCUCAGUCAGCUCACGCGUGAUACUAACUAGUUAGCAUGGCUUAUAUCUAAAGCGUCGAUUUUAGAGUGCUUAGAAAAUAGUAACUAGUCAAAAUACAAUUUCUAUACCAUUCCAGACUGAGGAUACACGAAAUCCUUCCACGCACUGGUUUUAAUACCAACGAACGUAAGUCACUUACCAGGAACACACAGCUUCAUUGGCGACAUGUUUGAGAGGAGGGCUCUUCGUUAGGCCAUUGACUGUAAAGGACAGGAUGAGGCUUCUUCUUCGUCGUUUGCAAACUUGCAAAAAAAAAUAGCGCCACCCUCCAAUGAUCACUAUGGCUUAUAGGCGAUAUCAAUACAGAUAAUGCUUGGAAUUUUGAGGAGAAAAAAAGGUACAAAUAAAUACACAAAAUAAAUUAUGCCCUAUUACUAAGUUUUCAUGUCCGUGAUUUUGCUCUUUAAAUCAUUUCUUUCUCUGCCGUACCUCGUGCAGUUUUUAAGAACAUAAUCUACCGUCUCAGGAACAUUACAGCUAUCACAUUUUCCAGUCUCGUGUUUACGCAUUUUUAAAUAGGUAAACAAUAGUUUAAUCCGGUGUGUCCUCAUCAAAGCCUAGUGAUUAUUGAUUCCUCUCUCCUGCACCUGCCACGACAAUUUUAUACAACGAGAAUAUAAUUAAGAGGAAGACAGCAUUUCUCAACAGGAUAAUAAUGUAUAUGAAUUUUUCCCCAAAAGUUACAUGUGAAAUCAGCAUGAAAAAGAUUUUCAACACUUAAUAGCUUGUGGAAUUUAUUAUGUUCAGUGUCACAGCAAAAGAAAAUACAUAGUUAAUCAUCUUGGUCUUUUACCACCAGUGUUACAAUAUAUGGUAAGCUAUACACACUCACAUGUUAAAGGUCCUGGAUUAACAUUUUGGUCAAUACAUACAUCAUGAAUACUCAUUCUCUAAAAUCUUGUUAUGUCCAAAAAUAUAGAUGAUUCAAAUCCGACCUCAAAGUCUAUGACUGACUUAAAGAUGCAUACGACUGAAAACUUAAAAAAAAGUGCACAGUGUGUGUGCGCAUGUGUGAAGUCUGUGAUGAUGACAACACUAACUGGCCUGUAGACUAGUUAUUUUUUUAACUACACAGCAUGGGAUUGAUGGGAACACCAUCCCACUCUUGGGAGUGGAGUUUAUUUCUUGACCUUGCCCUGAGCAGCCACAGCUGCCAUGGCCUUCUGUACGGUCUCUUCAUCACCCAGAAACUGCAUGCUUCCUAUGGGUUUCAGGUUUUUGUCCAACUCAUACACGAUGGGGAUACCUGUAGGCAGGUUCAGCUCCAUGAUGGCCUCCUCAGACAUACCUAGGAAAGAACAGGCAGGCCUCAUCAUCAGCAUCAGUCCUGAUCUAGCAAGUUACAGUAGACUUAUAUGAUACAACAUGUCAUCAGAAUACUUAUACACAUUCAAGUGUCAAGAGUCGAAGUAAUGGUUUAUAACAUUUUUUGUGAUUCUAGAUGUAUAAAAUGAUAGGAUUUUUAAUACCAUUAUAUCUUCAUUAUUAUGUUGUGAUGUUCCGAGUGUCCGUGAAUGCAUUUUGCAAUCUGUCUCUUGACAAUGAAGAAGUGUCUGGAGUGUUUGGAGUUGAAGAUACAUAUAUGGUGUUGAAAUUGCACUGCUGUUGA